rnacentral:rRNA from 1 species
UACGUAGGGACCAAGCGUUGUUCGGAUUUACUGGGCGUAAAGGGCGCGUAGGCGGCUUGUCAAGUCACUUGUGAAAUCUCUGGGCUUAACCCAGAACGGCCAAGUGAAACUGACAUGCUAGAGUGCAGAAGGGGCAAUCGGAAUUCUUGGUGUAGCGGUGAAAUGCGUAGAUAUCAAGAGGAACCCCUGAGGUGAAGACGGGUUGCUGGGCUGACACUGACGCUGAGGCGCGAAAGCCAGGGGAGCAAACGGG